rnacentral:rRNA from 1 species
AGUCGGCAGUAAAAGAAUAUAUAAGAAUAUUGUCGAUAUCUUCUGCCCGGUGUUUUUAUUAACGGCCGCAGUACCUUGACUGUGUUAAGGUAGCAUAAUCAAUUGGCUCCUUAAGGUAGUCUAGAAUGAAUGAAGUAAUGAAUAGAGACUAUAAAAAAUAAUUUAAUUUUAAUUUAGUUAUCUGGUGAAAAUACCAGUAAUUUAGAAAAAAGACGAGAAGACCCUUAGAGUUUUAAAAAAAUAAUGUAAUAAAUUUUGAUUAUAUUGAAAUAAUAAACAUUAUACUUUUUUGUUGGGGCGACAAGAAAACAAUAACAACUUUUCUAUAAUAACUUUGCGAUUAUUUGACGAAAUUUUUAUGAAUGGCAAAACUACCUUAGGGAUAACAGCAUAAUAAUAAUAAUUAGUUUGUGACCUCGAUGUUGGACUAGGGACUUAUACACUAACCGUGGUUAAAGAAUGUUCUGUUCGAACAGUAAACCCC